AUUGAACGCUGGCGGCAGGCCUAACACAUGCAAGUCGAACGAGUGGCGGACUGGUGAGUAAUGUCUGGGAAACUGCCUGAUGGAGGGGGAUAACUACUGGAAACGGUAGCUAAUACCGCAUACCAUCAGAUGUGCCCAGAUGGGAUGAGCUUGUGGGUGGGGUAACGGCUCACCAGGGCGACGAGCCCUAGCUGGUCUGAGAGGAUGACCGCCCACACGGGAAUGGAUACACGGUCCAGACUCUUACGGGAGGAAGAGGUGGGGAAUAUUGCACAAGGGGCGCAAGCCGGAUGCAGCCAUGCCGCGUGUAGGAAGAAGGCCUUCGGGUUGUAAAGUACGUUCAGCGGGGAGGCGUUAACCGCAGAGAAAGGAACGGCUAACUCCGUGCCAGCAGCCGCGGUAAUUC
rnacentral:rRNA from 1 species